rnacentral:lncRNA from 1 species
GUUUACUCCACAUGGAAUCUCCGUAUUUUUAUGACAUGUACAGUUGGUUGUAAUGCCGUACUAGGUAUCAUGUACAACAUCAAAGAGCUAACAGCUCAGUCUGAAUUAUUUGUCUGACACCAGUAAUGGAGAAAAUGAACACUUGAAUCUUUAGCGUGUAUGUCCCCAUAAACAGGUCAUCUUCUAACCAAACGGGAGAUGUUGAGUUAGAAACUCCUUUUCCUGUUAUUUCAAACAUACCCCAAGCACAGCUCCAGCAGCCACUGAGGGUCGGUUGGGCAUGGAUGGGAGAGGGCUGACCCGACGUCAAUUUGUAGUGUUCCUUCAUUAUCUGCCCAUUCUAAUGGGCGUCUGCUGCACAUCAUGGACGCAAAGUGCGGAGCAUCGGGUGUUCACAGCUUCCCAUUGUGAAGUGAAGGUGUUGGGACCACCUUGUAUUCAGAUUAAAGGAUCUGUAUGGAUUUCCAAACAAAAAAAGUUGGAGUUCCUGUAUAAAACUUGAGCUCCAGCUCGGCAUGAAGACAUCAGAUGUGCUUCUACUUGAAAAAAACAUUGUUGUACCAGCAUAUAUCCCAUCUGAAUUUUUCUCCUGGGUAAAGUCUUAUAGAUGAGUGCAUCGUGCAUAAUGA